rnacentral:rRNA from 1 species
AACGAACGCUGGCGGCAGGCUUAACACAUGCAAGUCGAGCGCAUCCUUCGGGGUGAGCGGCAGACGGGUGAGUAACGCGUGGGAAUCUACCUUUUGCUACGGAAUAGCUCCGGGAAACUGGAAUUAAUACCGUAUGUGCCCUUAGGGGGAAAGAUUUAUCGGCAAGGGAUGAGCCCGCGUUGGAUUAGCUAGUUGGUGGGGUAAAGGCCUACCAAGGCGACGAUCCAUAGCUGGUCUGAGAGGAUGAUCAGCCACAUUGGGACUGAGACACGGCCCAAACUCCUACGGGAGGCAGCAGUGGGGAAUAUUGGACAAUGGGCGCAAGCCUGAUCCAGCCAUGCCGCGUGAGUGAUGAAGGCCUUAGGGUUGUAAAGCUCUUUCACCGGAGAAGAUAAUGACGGUAUCCGGAGAAGAAGCCCCGGCUAACUUCGUG